GAAAUGCGAUAAGUAAUGUGAAUUGCAGAAUUCCGUGAAUCAUCGAAUCUUUGAACGCACAUUGCGCCCUCUGGUAUUCCGGGGGGCAUGCCUGUCCGAGCGUCAUUACACCAAUCAAGCACGGCUUGUGAGUUGGGCCACCGUCCCCUAAAAAGGACGGGCCCGAAACGCAGUGGCGGCGUCGCGGUUUCUCGAUCAGCCAGAGUGUAUGGGGAUUUUAUUCACACGCUCACGGCCGGGACCGGCGCCAGUCGAUAACCAAAUUUUUUAUCAAGGUUGACCUCGGAUCAGGUAGGGAUACCCGCUGAACUUAA
rnacentral:misc_RNA from 1 species